ACUUUGGGCCAGGAAGAUUUC
rnacentral:rRNA from 1 species